AGACAAGGAGAUCCACUAUCUCCUUAUCUUUUUAUUUUGGUGAUGGAAGUUCUUUCAAGAAAGCUUCACUCCCUUCAGGAUAGAAAUGAGUUGUAAGGAAUCAAACUGGCGUAUAAUGCUCCAUCAAUUAAUCAUAUUUUCUUCACAAAUGACGCCCUUCUUUGCUUUUAGGCAACCCCAUUCUCUUGCAGGCUCGUAAAGCAGGUAAUCAAUGAUUUUUGUCUAAUUUCUAGGGAGGUAGUCAAUUCGAACAAAUCCUCAAUUAUCUUCAGCCCAAAUACCCCUCCUAGAUUUGUUAGAAUCUUGAGAAAACCUCUCGGAGUAAGGAGUAGCAAAGAGUUAGGCACAUAUCUAGGAUGCCCAAUGGAUGUCGAUGGUCGCUCCUCUAUAAAACUUGCUAGCAUUCUAAGCAAGAUUAAACAAAAAAUCUCCUCAUGGAAGUUCUCUUUUAUUUCCCAAACAGGAAAGCUCUUACUCAUCAAUGGCAUUCUUGUUGCAAUGGCACAACACAUCCUUUCAAUUUUUUGGUGUCCUGAACUAUUAAUAGAUAAAAUCAAUUCAACUAUUAAUAGGUUUUGGUGGAGUUCGAAUGAUCACCAGAGGAAAAUUUAUUAGAGGAAAAAAGAUGUGCUCUACUCACAUAAAACUGAAGGAGGUCUUGGAAUAAAAGAGGUGAGAGCAAUUAACAACAAUCUUCUCAUGAAGAAUAGCUGGAGAUUUUACAAGAAUCCUCACAUGCUAGCAAGCAAGAUCUUUAAGGCUAGAUAUGGAUCCAAUCCUAUCUCUCUAGGACUAUCAAAUAAGCAGAUUCAAAGAGGCUCUUGGGCAGCCAAGAGCAUGAUCAAAGCUGUGAGAUCUUUUACAGGAGCAAUUGGGAAAAGAAUUGGGAAUGGUCAAUCCACCUCUAUCACACAAGACAUCUGGGUUGGGAAAGAAACAAUUUCUCCUUUGAAUAAUACCAAUCUUCAGCAAGGAGCGAAGGUGGCAGAUCUGAUGACUAGCUCGAGACAAUGGAACUCAAGCAUCAUAUGGAGGAACUUUGAUGCAGCAACAACUAGAAAUAUCAUGGUAAUUCACAUCCCAGAACAGGAUCAGCAAGAUGAAUACUUUUGGCUACAUGAUAGAAAGGGAGAGUUCACAUUUAAAUCGGGCUAAUGGUUCCAUAUUAGAAAUAGAAAUGCUCAGUUUUGGAAGCCAAAAGCGCCACUCUUUUGGAAAGAAUUCUGGAAACUUGACUUGUUGCCUCAAUGGAAGUGGUUCAUUUGGAGAUUAUCUCACAACAUCCUCCCAACAAGUGAUAAUCUGCAGAAAAGAGGAAUCCCAAUUCAAAAUGUCUGCCCAUUAUGCGAUUCAGAAAGAGAAGAUGCAAAUCAUAUCUUUCGAUUUUGUGACUUUACCAAGAGAAUUUGGGCAUCCUCUUCUCUUGGCAUUAUCUCCGCUAACCCUUGUUUCCUGUCUUGCAGGGAAUGGGUAACUAAUUUCAUUAGUUAUCUAACUCACAGGGACGGUCAAGAUGAUCCUCUCAGCAUACCCAGAUUCAUCUCAAUCCCAUGGGCAAUCUGGGGACAUAGAAAUGACAUCCUGUUUAAUGGCGUGAGUGUCAACCCAAAAGCUAUUUUGGAGGCGGCACAGGUACACGUCAAUAGAUGGAAAACUGCUUCUACUCUCAAGACCUUGAUCAGUUCUCUCCGAACUUCAAGGAAUUUCCGCCAUAGGCUACCUUUGAUAUGGACAUCAGGAAGAGUCUCAAGUGGACCAAAACUUAUCAUCUGCGUGGAUGCAGCCUGGAAAAAUUUUAAGAGAAAGGAGAACAACUUUUGGCAAGCUAACUCACAGAGCUGUAAUCUAUCGGGAGCUAAGAGGGUUUUUGCAUCAUCACCAAGCCAAACAGAGGGACUGGCUAUCCUAACAACAAUCAAAGAAUCCCCACAACACUAUACAUAUCUUAUCAUUAAAACAGUUGCAUUGGUGGUUGUGGAAAGUCUCAAGCACUCACCCAACUCAGUGGAAGAGCUCAAAAAUGCGAUACAGGACAUCAAACUAGCAGCUCAAGAAGAGAAUUUGUAAUGUGCAUCAAAGUAUCUAGGAAUUGUGUUUCCAAAGCCCAUGCUCUUGCUACACAUUGCAGGAAGAAUGGGUAGCUUGUUUGUUAUCCAUUAUAACCAUUGUCUAAAAAAAAUAAAUAAAUAAAAAUAAAAAAUAAAAAAAAUAUAUCUACACCAAUGAUUCGUGCAGAUUGUCAUGGUUACAUUCUCCAAUGAUCUAAUAUCAUUUGAUUGAUGCCAUUGCGUUGUCCAUUUUCAAUCAUCAACCCUUAAAAUGUUUCACCUUGUUCCCUUAUGAAGAGUAACCACAUGUGCCUAUUGCAUGUGUGAGAUUGCUGACGUGGCAAGGGUGUGGCAAAGUUCUUGAACCUCGAUUGUAUCACUAAGCAUGCAUUGUUUGGAAUCUUGACCAUUGGCUUUUCUUUCUUUUGCAAUAUUUAACUUUUUACUUUUUACUUUCCUGUACCUCCGUAGUGUCUCUUCCAUACGCCCCUUUUUUUUCUGUUCUUCCAUGUUCACUUUCUCUACAACCAUCAACAAGGCAAAUGUAGCUUUCUCACCUCCAUCAAAUGCAACUUAUAAACUAAGCUAUUCAAUUUAGCUGUGACCACCGAUCAAGGCAAUUCACAGGUUUUCGGUGUCGGAAACUUGCACGCUUUCUCUAUCUCAGUUUAAUUUCGCCGGCCUGCCAUCCACGGCCAAAUAGCCACUACAGAGAUCGAGGAAUGGAAGGACAAAUAGCCGUUGAACGAGGAGAUAGAAAACGGAUCUAGAACACAGGUGAAGAACUGGUCUUCUAAAUGGCGCCACAUUCAAGAUCAGAGCGGCUGGAUCGGUCUUAGUUUCUGGUGGGGUCACAUUGUGAGAUUCUUGAAGAAGGGCUGAGAUGCUCAGAAGGUCGGUUCUGGUUCUCCUGUCUACUUUUCUGCUGUCCUUGAGUAUCUCGCUACUGAGCUGACUCCAUUUGUAGCGAGGAGGCCUUUUGCAGAUGUUGAUGACUAUGAUAAUUGGUUCAUUUGGGAGUGAAUAGUGGUGCCCAAAAGUUUGCAAUUGAAGGUCAAGCAUUCAACGAAGCAACAUUUUGCUAUCCUGAUGAGCUCGGGUGACAACUAACCACAGUCCUGACGAUGUAGAAAUAUCUAAUACGAGACAGUGAAGGUCAAAGUAUUGGAGUUUUUGAAUAGGAAAGGGAAAGGAGUAGAGGCUCAUGUGGGGAAGCUUGAGUUUGGGGACCUUCAAAAGUUGCUUGUCGUUCGCACUCUUAAGCUCAAGAAGCUUGAAAUUCCAUGUAAACAUCUCUAACUUGAAGCCAUUUAGAGCUCCCAUUGCGUACCGUGCUGUUAUGAGAUAUUUGAUUGCAUACAUUGCCACAAUGAAGCAACGGUGAUAUUUGGCUUUUUACCUUGGUUUACAAGGGCGUCGUCCGGGAAUUUGGUUUUGGGAUCUUACAAAAUUGGGUCAAAAUCUAGGAGUUGAAACUAUAUGAUGCAGAUAGUAUACAAAAAGGAGUCUCUCCCAUUGAAGGCACGGGGGCUACUAUGCCCGAUGACAAAGAUGAUCCCAUAGACAAUGAUGGUAACUUGUUUGAUAGAGGUUUGGACGGCCUAGACACCAUGGGAUUUGGAGCCUCAUCCCAUCACUAAUGGAGCGUGUGAGGCAAGAGCUGAAGCAUGAGCUAAAACAACUACUGUAGAAGAAGAGCAAAAGACAAUAGACGACCUAAGCAUUCAAGAGGAGCCUCUAUAGCAAUUCAAGAGGAGCCUCUAUAGCGAAUACCGUCUAUAGCGAGCAAAAAAGUAAGUAUAAUAAGUUGAUUUAUCUUGUAAGAAUUACUCAAUUUGAAUUGUAGGUGGAUCUGUUGAUAAAUAGAUGAGCUAAGCAAUUUAAGAGGAGAAUGUGAAAUGGUAUUGCCUCUAUAGAGAAUACCAAGCCCUAAAGUAGAUAUGUUUUACGUGUGUUCAACUAUGGAUACGAUUGUAGAUGAAGCGAUGAUAGAGGAAGAUGUUGUUACUUCUGUAGGUGGAAUUCGUUUGGGUGAUGAUAAUAACCCCAGUUUCAUAUGUUCUGAAUCAAUGACUUGUGUCAGUGCAGAGCCUGACAAUAACAUGGUUGAUUCCGUCGUUGGUGAGUCCUUGUUGUGAACCCCUGAUCAUGCUAUGAGAGGAAUUCCAAGUAGUAACACUGUUGUAUAGUCAUCUCCGAUCCAAACAAUUGAAACUAUUGUGUCUAACAACCGGGUUAAUGUGGUUACCGUUGUAGAACCACCGAGGGUGGGUAUGGUUUUUAGAAGCUGGCAGGAUAUUGAGAUAUAUUAUAAACAGUACGCCGAGCAAAAGGGAUUUGGGGUUACUCGCACUCAAGGAAAUUUUUCAAAGAAAACCAAGGAGCGUAGGGGGUCAAGAUGGCGGUGUGAAUGCUGGGGUGCUCCUAACAUGAGGGCGCUAAGGGAGGCUAAGAAGAGGGCUAAGGCGAUGGAAGUGUUCGGGUGUGGUGGUAAGGUGAAUGGGGUUAUAGGACAAGAUGAGCUAAAGCACGGGAAGAGGACCUCCAAAAAGUGUCAAUGUGGUGCUACGGUAUAUGCUGGUGUCAACGAGGAAGGUGAAUGGGUUAUAAAAGAAGUGAACAAUGAACAUAACAAUCAUAAUCCUACCCCAUCCAAAUCUAAGCUGGUGAACGAGUAUAGAAUGAAGAGUCACGUCUGGUGUUCGGAAGCAAUUAGAAAACUUAUACGAACAGGGUGUUUUCGUAACUCAAAUUCACGGUGGUUUAUCCCGCCAGCAUGUGGUGUUACCUAGUGUGAAGAACCUUGAACAUGAGGUGUAUAAGGCGAGGAAGCUUAAAAUGGAGGGUGGUGACGCUGCAGCAAUGAUGCGUUACUUUGAAGAUAUGCAAGCCGAUAAUUCAAACUUCUAUCACGCUCACCGUUUGGAUGCGGAAGGUCGCCUAAAGGACGUCGUCUGGGUCGAUGCAAGCAGUCGGGCAGCAUAUGAAGAGUUUGGGGAUGUUGUGUGCUUUGAUGCCACUUAUCUAACAAAUCGCUAUGAACUUCCAUUUGCAAACUUUGUUGGGGUGAACCAUCACGGUCAGUCGAUUCUACUCGGUUAGGCUCUUGUUUCUCGUGAAGAUUGCGAGACAUAUUCUUGGGUAUUCCGCCAGUGGGUAGAAUGUAUGAGGAACAAAGCUCCGAUGGCCAUACUUACAGACCAAGCUGCAGCGACGAGGAAGCCGUUAGCUGAAAUUUAGGCCAAACUCCCGCCAUCGAUGGUGUAUAUGGCACAUUAUGAAGAAGAUCCCGGAAAAUCUUGGAACAUUCACCCUGUAAGUUAUUGGUCGUCGUUGUUUCAUUCUUCUACAGGAUUAAAAAACAAACUAAAUUUUCGCAAGUAUGUAAAAAUACAGCUAUACGUACGCUAUCUUACUAUUUAUCAUUUACUGUAUUUGCACAAUACGUGACAGGUACCAUGAAUUUAAGAGGCCGUUGAAAGUUGUUGUAUACCAGAGCGUUACCGUUGAAGAGUUUGAGAAAAGUUGGCUGGAACUUAAUAAGCUCUACAAGUUGGAAGAGAAUGAAUGGCUUAAUGAACUUUUUCAGGAGAGGCAUAUGUGGGUACCUGCAUUCAUGAAAGAGUAUUUCUGGCAGGAAUGAAAACAACCCAAAGGGUUGAGAGCAUAAAUAGCUUUUUUGACAAAUUUGUCAACCGCAAAACAAGACUGCAUGAGUUUCCACUAAAGUAUACUAUGGAAAUGGGGAAAAGGGUCAAAGAUGAGAGUGCAGCUGAUGCCAGAUGUAUGAAGUACGUUCGCCGCCUAAUAAGCGGUUUCAAGGUUGAGAAAAUAUUUUAAAGGUUGUACACUGAUCGUAAAUUCCAAGAGGUUCAGAAGGAGUUGGCUAGGAUGAUGUAUUGUCAUGGUAUGAGUGAAAGGGUUGUUCAUGAUCAUACCAAAGAGUAUGUACUCGAAGAUAGGGUGUGGAUUGUUCCCGAAGGGCUAAGCGAAGAGGUUAUUAUCGAUAGAAGACGUUGGUACCGCGUCAGGUUUAACACAGCGACGAAAGAGGUGUCGUGUGAAUGUCGUAAGUUUGAAACCCAUGGCAUAUUAUGGAAGCACUCUAUAAAAAUUAUGGACCAAAAUGGGGUAUCUGAGAUACCACAAAAAUAUAUUUUAGAUCGGUGGAGGAAAGACAUAGUUAGGAAGCAUACAAGGGUGAAGGUUGCUUAUCAUGACCCGACAAAAACCCAGAGGUGAGAAGGUAUAAUAAAAUUAUGACUGCUUUUGAGCCACUGUGUGACGAAGCAUCUGUCGUUGAUGAAAAUACCGUGGACAUGGUACUUGCAUCUCUGUUCAAGCUAAGUGAGGUCGUGAAGGUACACCGUAAGAAGUACAACAAAACACAUGAUUGUGUUCCUCUCCCAAGUGUCGAAUACCCCGUAUCUGAAAUAGGAUCUAUGAGUCACACUGUAGCUCCAAGGUCGGUGUCUAAACCACACAAUGGUAGCCAGCCGGAUGUGGACGUUACCCAAGAAGGGGGCGAAGGUGGGAAUGGUAGCAGUGGUGAAUGCCUUGACUGGGAUGAUGUGAUCCCACAGCAGCCGUCUCAGCCGGUGCUUGAUCCCACAACACGUAAAAGAAAGUGGGGAAGACCAAAGUGUUCCAGAAACAAACCCCCGUUUGAAACAAUAAGGGGGUCGGAUGUGGACGUUACCCAAGAAGGGGGCGAAGGUGGGAAUGGUAACACUGGUGAAUGCCUUGACUGGGAUGAUGUGAUCCCAUAACAGUCGUCUCAGUCGGUGCUUGAAGUUGAUCCCACAGCACGUAAAAGACAGCGUGGAAGACCAAAGGGUUCCAGAAACAAAUCCCCAUCUGAAGCAAUAAGGGGGUCGGAUGUGGACGUUACCCAAGAAGGGGGCGAAUGGGAAUGGUAACACUGGUCAAUGCCUUGACUGGGAUGAUGUGAUCCCACAGCAGCCGUCUCAGCCGGUGCUUGAAGUUGAUCCCACAGCACGUAAAAGACAAUGUGGAAGACCAAAGGGUUCCAGAAACAAACCCCCAUCUGAAACAAUAAGGGGGCCAGAUGUGGACGUUACCCAAGAAGGGGGCGAAGAUGGGAAUGGUAGCAGUGGUGAAUGCCUUGACUGGGAUGAUGUGAUCCCACCGCAGCCGUCUCAGCCGGUGCUUGAUCCCAUAGCACGUAAAAGGAAGCGUGGAAGACCAAAGGAUACCAGAAACAAACCCCUGUCUGAAACAGGUUAUAAGGCACCAAAUACAAGAAGAAGUAGAAGGAAGCAGAACCAUGCCACAGUGAUACUGCAGACCAAAGGUGGAUAUCGAGUCAUGGAUGACAGCGACAAUGGAUCUUUUGAAUUUUGAGCUCCACGACUAACCUUGUUCAUCUGUGGACAAUGUGGGUAUAGGUGAAUUUGCUUUCGAGUAAUAGUCAGAGUAAUGUACUGCUUUUGUGUUUUGGGGAUCAGAUGGAGCUCUUAGUGUUUUGGUUAGUAAGAUGUCUUUUAUAAACCGCUUAUAGCGUUGUUGGCUGCAAGAAUGGUUCUCUUAGUACUUUCAGCCUUUUUUUAGAUGUUGUACGUCUUUUGUAAACCCGCUUUCAGCGUUGCUGGCUGCAUGGAUAGUUCUCUUAGUACUUCAGCGUUUUUUAGAUGUUGUAUGUCUUGUGUAAACCCCAUUUCAGCGUUGUUGGCUACAAGCAUAUUUCUCUUA